UGUUUCUGUGCAACAGUAGGUAGGUCCAGGGUUAGGUUCCUGUGCAACAGUAGGUAGGUCCAGGGUUAGGUUCCUGUGCAACAGUAGGUAGGUCCAGGGUUAGGUUCCUGUGCAACAGUAGGUAGAUCCAGGGUUGUGUUUCUGUGCAACGGUAGGUAGGUCCAGGGUUGUGUUUCUGUGCAACAGUAGGUAGGUCCAGGGUUGUGUUUCUGUGCAACGGUAGGUAGGUCCAGGGUUGUGUUUCUGUGCAACAGUAGGUAGGUCCAGGGUUGUGUUUCUGUGCAACAGUAGGUAGGUCCAGGGUUGUGUUUCUGUGCAACAGUAGGUAGGUCCAGGGUUGUGUUUCUGUGCAACAGUAGGUAGGUACACACAACACAUGGUUUUUCAAUAUGCUUCAGAAAAACUAGAGUACUGAUGUCUUUUUUUAAUUACAUUUUUUAGAACAAUGGUAUGCUUUUUUUUUU
ensembl:lncRNA